rnacentral:rRNA from 1 species
UACAGAGGGUGCGAGCGUUGUCCGGAAUCACUGGGCGUAAAGGGCGCGUAGGUGGCCACCAUAAGGCCGCGGUGAAAGUUCGGGGCUCAACCCCGGAUCGGCCGCGGCGACUGUGGGGCUUGGGUACCGUAGAGGCAGAUGGAAUUCCCGGUGUAGUGGUGGAAUGCGUAGAUAUCGGGAGGAACACCAGUGGCGAAGGCGGUUGCCUGGAGCUUUGCUGACGCUGAGGCGCGAAAGCGUGGGGAGCGAUCCGG